rnacentral:rRNA from 1 species
UGUCUCAGCCGCCGCGGUAAUACAGAGGGUGCAAGCGUUAAUCGGAUUUACUGGGCGUAAAGCGCGCGUAGGCGGCUAAUUAAGUCAAAUGUGAAAUCCCCGAGCUUAACUUGGGAAUUGCAUUCGAUACUGGUUAGCUAGAGUGUGGGAGAGGAUGGUAGAAUUCCAGGUGUAGCGGUGAAAUGCGUAGAGAUCUGGAGGAAUACCGAUGGCGAAGGCAGCCAUCUGGCCUAACACUGACGCUGAGGUGCGAAAGCAUGGGGAGCAAACAGGAUUAGAUACCCUGGUAGUCCAUGCCGUAAACGAUGUCUACUAGCCGUUGGGGCCUUUGAGGCUUUAGUGGCGCAGCUAACGCGAUAAGUAGACCGCCUGGGGAGUACGGUCGCAAGACUAAAACUCAAAUGAAUUGACGGGGGCCCGCACAAGCGGUGGAGCAUGUGGUUUAAUUCGAUGCAACGCGAAGAACCUUACCUGGCCUUGACAUAGUAAGAGCUUUCCAGAGAUGGAUUGGUGCCUUCGGGAACUUACAUACAGGUGCUGCAUGGCUGUCGUCAGCUCGUGUCGUGAGAUGUUGGGUUAAGUCCCGCAACGAGCGCAACCCUUUUCCUUAUUUGCCAGCGAGUAAUGUCGGGAACUUUAAGGAUACUGCCAGUGACAAACUGGAGGAAGGCGGGGACGACGUCAAGUCAUCAUGGCCCUUACGGCCAGGGCUACACACGUGCUACAAUGGUCGGUACAAAGGGUUGCUACCUAGCGAUAGGAUGCUAAUCUCAAAAAGCCGAUCGUAGUCCGGAUUGGAGUCUGCAACUCGACUCCAAGAAGUCGGAAUCGCUAGUAAUCGCGGAUCAGAAUGCCGCGGUGAAUACGCUCCCGGGCCUUGUACACACCGCCCGUCACACCAUGGGAGUUUGUUGCACCAGAAGUAGCUAGCCUAACUGCAAAGAGGGCGGUUACCACGGUGUGGCCGAUGACUGGGGUGAAGUCGUAACAAGGUAACCGAUCCCGCACUGCAUGGCGCAGGGACAAUGGCCGAGUCGCGAUCCCCCUUAUAGUGGAAUCGA